GUAGGUAUAUAGCCUAACCUACUUCUGGAUAAAGUAACUUUCUAAUGAUGAAAGAAUUAUUGAAAUCGCUUCAGUAAUUUCAGAGUUUAUCUAUUACAAACAAACAAACAAAGCUUUCCUCUUUAUAAUAUUAUA